rnacentral:rRNA from 1 species
CUUCUGAUACUUAGUGGCGGACGGGUGAGUAAUGCUUAGGAAUCUGCCUAGUAGUGGGGGAUAACUUGGGGAAACCCAAGCUAAUACCGCAUACGACCUACGGGUGAAAGGGGGCUUUUAGCUCUCGCUAUUAGAUGAGCCUAAGUCGGAUUAGCUGGUUGGUGGGGUAAAGGCCUACCAAGGCGACGAUCUGUAGCUGGUCUGAGAGGGUGUACGGCCACAUUGGGACUGAGAUACGGCCCAG